UACGGAGGAUGCGAGCGUUAUCCGGAUUUAUUGGGUUUAAAGGGUGCGUAGGCGGAUUAAUAAGUCAGUGGUGAAAACCUUCAGCUUAACUGGAGACUUGCCAUUGAUACUGUUAGUCUUGAGUGUGGUUAAGGUAGGCGGAAUGUGUAAUGUAGCGGUGAAAUGCUUAGAUAUUACACAGAACACCGAUUGCGAAGGCAGCUUACUGAGCCAUAACUGACGCUGAUGCACGAAAGCGUGGGGAGCGAAC
rnacentral:rRNA from 1 species